CUGUUCAAAAUAUCACAACUCACACACUCACCAUCACAAACACUCAUCUCUCUCACAGAACACUCACCGAGUGCAUUCUUCCUUCUCGCUCCUCCCGCAGCCUCCUCCGCGCACCUUGCUCGCACACACACAAACUCUCCUCGACAUCAAGGAUCUCACUCACUCACCGACCUCCUCGUUCACUCUCUCUUCCUGGGACCUUCACCAUGUGCUUACACUCAUUUUACACAAAAUAUCCACCCUCUCUCAUAGACCUCUCCCACUCUCCAACGUCUUCAUUCUCUCUUUUCCCGCGGCCUCCUCCGUGAACUCCUACACUGUUCAACCUGCCAUCCACACCCACAUGUCUCUACAUCUUAGUUCUGUUACUCUACAUACUAACUAAAACCUAUAUUUCUCAACUUAAAAUCACAAUUUCAAAAUCGCUCCACACCUAUACAAGAACUCAAAAUUUUAAC
rnacentral:lncRNA from 1 species